UAUUGGUUGUCUAAAAUAGACUUCUCGGAUGUCUUCGUUUAGGACUGGAGGUCGAUGAACUUUGUCCGAAAGUCGACGACGAACCAAGAGAGGCCAGCUAAUAGUAAUCGAAACGUGACGAACGCAGCGACGGCGCGCUAAUUGACCGAGUCCGUUGGAGACCGGCGUGCGAAACCGUAGCCGACCGUUUCGGACGCGACGGACGG